rnacentral:rRNA from 1 species
UACGUAGGUGGCGAGCGUUGUCCGGAUUUAUUGGGUUUAAAGGGUGCGUAGGCGGCUUUGUAAGUCAGUGGUGAAAUACUCUAGCUUAACUAGAGGGGUGCCAAUGAUACUGCAGGGCUUGAGUACAGAUGAGGUAGGCGGAAUUGACGGUGUAGCGGUGAAAUGCAUAGAUAUCGUCAAGAACACCGAUAGCGAAGGCAGCUUACUGGGCUGUAACUGACGCUGAUGCACGAAAGUGUGGGGAUCAAAACAGG